rnacentral:rRNA from 1 species
AUUGAACGCUAGCGGCAUGCCUAACACAUGCAAGUCGAGCGGAGUGGCGGACGGGUGAGUAAUGUAUAGGAAUGUGCCCAGUAGCGGGGGAUAACUACGCGUAAGGGAAGCUAAUAUCGCAUACUAUCGGAUUGGCCUAUAUCGGAGUAGCUAGUUGGUGGGGUAAAGGCUCACCAAGGCGACGAUCCGUAGCUGGUUUGAGAGGACGACCAGCCACACUGGGACUGAGACACGGCCCAGACUCCUACGGGAGGCAGCAGUGGGGAAUGUUGGACAAUGGGCGAAAGCCUGAUCCAGCCAUGCCGCGUGUGUGAAGAAGGCCUUCGGGUUGUAAAGCACUUUUAGCAGGGAAGCGGUACCUGCAGAAUAAGCACCGGCUAACUACGUGCCAGCAGCCGCGGUAAUAC